rnacentral:other from 1 species
GCAUCCCUGCGCUGUUGGUGUGAGCCUAGGUGUUUUGAGCCAACACCAUUUUUCGGGGAGUUCGAGGUCUCGGUGGUGCACACAUGCCGUGAGGAUUUUCCUUGUGGACGUUGUAAACUGCUGAGCAGGACACCCACCUGCGAGAGCAGGUUCAAAACGAAGGGUUCCACGGCAGGUGCGGGGAUGGU